GGAGGCUGGAGUACGCGCGCUGAACCAUAUCCGUCACCGUUGUCAUAGUUACUGUACACAACGCGCCUGAGCAUCUCCCGUUGAAGCAGAUCCUUCUCUAACGUCCAAAGUACGACUUCACACCCCAUUUCCAGUAUCAAUAUGUCCGAUGUGGGGUCUGAGGAUCCGGAGGAGGAUCAGAACUACCUUGGGGAAUAUUCUGGAGACAGAAACGAAGUAGGAGAGAGGCAUGGGUCGGGCAGAGCGGUACUUCCCGGUGGAGACACGUACCAGGGACAGUAUGACAGCGGCCGCCGAUGCGGACAGGGAACAUAUCGCUUUAAGAGUGGCGCCUGCUUCAUAGGAGAUUACUACAAUAACAUCAAACAAGGACAAGGCACCCUCUACUACCCAGACGGAUCCAAAUAUGAAGGGUCCUGGGUGGAGGACUUGCGUCAGGGCCAUGGCAUCUACACCUACCCUAACGGAGAUAAGUACGAUGGAGCGUGGCUCCGCGACGUCAGGCACGGCCAGGGGACGUACUGGUACAACGACACCGGCUCUUCGUAUAGGGGCGCCUGGAACAACGGCAAGAUAGACGCAGUCGGAGAGAUCCUCCAUUCCAACCACCACUACAAGGGGAGCUUCCUGAAUAACAAUCCAACGGGACCGGGGAAGUACGUGUUUGACAUCGGAUGUGAGCAGCAUGGUGAUUACAUUCUAACAGAACAGAUACAGUGUGAGCAGCACACAUAAUGGAUUGGAUAUUUUCAAAUCAGAUUCAAUACCCUUAUGGUAUGUGGUCCCAGAUCCAGAACAUUACUGAUGACCAGCCAUUCGAACAACAGGGCCCCCUGAGGAUGACGAAGGUGACUCUUCCUCUGCCCUCAAGUGGCUCCCGAGAGACAUCACCGGUCCAACCAUGGGGACCUCCGAGUCCACCAAGCCAUCAUCAGGUGGACCCUAGCUCAAAUGUGAUCAGUCAACACAAAAUAUUUGGAAAAGCAAGCAGCCUCUACAGAAGAUGGGAACUGACCUUUGGACCUUGAUUUUUGUGCAUUUGUAACAUCAUCAUAACCACAUGUUUAGCUUAUUUGUUUACAGUUUUGUUCUUUAUGCAUUUCAUUUCUUUAUUUCAUAACUUUUUGACUGAACGUAAUACAAUAAAACAUAAAUAAAAAGGGUCAAAGUCUU